rfam:Thermosulfurimonas dismutans strain S95 contig00001, whole genome shotgun sequence.
GCCGGGGUAGCUCAGUCGGUAGAGCAGCGGACUGAAAAUCCGCGUGUCGGUGGUUCGAUUCCGCCCCCCGGCA